AGAGUUUGAUCCUGGCUCAGAACGAACGCUGGCGGCGCGCUUCAUACAUGCAAGUCGAGCGAGAAAUUUCCCGCUUGCGGGAGAGAGUAAAGCGGCGAACGGGUGCGUAACACGUGGGCAAUUUGCCCCUCGGUUUGGGAUAAGUCUUCGAAAGGGGGUCUAAUACCGAAUAACAUCUUCAGGCGGCAUCGCCCGAAGAUCAAAGACUUCGGUUGCCGAGGGAUGAGCCCGCGGUCCAUUAGCUUGUUGGUGAGGUAACGGCUCACCAAGGCUGCGAUGGAUAGCCGACCUGAGAGGGUGGCCGGCCACACUGGGACUGAGAUACGGCCCAGACUCCUACGGGAGGCAGCAGUAGGGAAUAUUGCGCAAUGGGCGAAAGCCUGACGCAGCGACGCCGCGUGGAUGAUGACGCCCUUCGGGGUGUAAAAUCCUUUCAGUGGGGACGAACCGGUUCUUCGGAGCCCUGACGGUACCCACAGAAGAAGCACCGGCUAACUCCGUGCCAGCAGCCGCGGUAAUACGGAGGGUGCGGGCGUUGUUCGGAUUUACUGGGCGUAAAGGGUGCGUAGGCGGGUUGGCAGGUCGGAUGUGAAAACCCCACGGCUUAACCGGGGGCCUGCAUUCGAAACCGCCAAUCUUGAGUACGGGAGAGGAAAGCGGAAUUCCUGGUGUAGCGGUGAAAUGCGUAGAUAUCAGGAAGAACACCGGUGGCGAAGGCGGCUUUCUGGCCCGAUACUGACGCUCAGGCACGAAGGCUAGGGGAGCAAACAGGAUUAGAUACCCUGGUAGUCCUAGCGGUAAACGAUGGGCACUAGGUGUUGGGGGUAUCGACCCCCUCAGUGCCGCAGCUAACGCAAUAAGUGCCCCGCCUGGGGAGUACGGUCGCAAGAUUGAAACUCAAAGGAAUUGACGGGGGCCCGCACAAGCGGUGGAGUAUGUGGUUCAAUUCGACACAACGCGAAGAACCUUACCUGGGUUUGACAUGCACGGGACCGCCUGUGAAAGCAGGCUUUCUCUUCGGAGACCCGUGUGCAGGUGCUGCAUGGCUGUCGUCAGCUCGUGCCGUGAGGUGUUGGGUUAAGUCCCGCAACGAGCGCAACCUCUGUCCCUAGUUGCCAUCAGGUUAAGCUGGGAACUCUAGGGAGACUGCCCCGGUCAACGGGGAGGAAGGUGGAGAUGACGUCAAGUCCUCAUGGUCCUUACAUCCAGGGCUACACACGUACUACAAUGGCCGGUACAGCAGGUCGCAAUAUCGCAAGGUGGAGCUAAUCCCCAAAGCCGGCCUCAGUUCGGAUUGGAGUCUGCAACUCGACUCCAUGAAGUCGGAAUCGCUAGUAAUCGCGGAUCAGCAGGCCGCGGUGAAUACGUUCCCGGGCCUUGUACACACCGCCCGUCAAGCCAUGGGAGUUGGGGGUACCCGAAGUCACCUGUCUAACCUUCGGGAAGCAGGUGCCGAAGGUAAAACCAAUGACUGGGGCUAAGUAAGUAACAAGGUA
rnacentral:rRNA from 1 species